rnacentral:lncRNA from 1 species
UUGGUAUGAUGCCAGCAUGCAGUUACUGACGGACGGAUACAGGGAACUGAACUUGGUGAAAGCAACAUAGUGAGUGAUGUGUACAGCAUAUAUACUUUGACUUUGGGUGGUAAUCUCGUUCUGGUAGAUACGUACGCACGAUCUGUCGGGCUCAAGCUAUAUUGCUGGGUUAGGGUCUUGGGUUCGAGAUUCAUACGCCAUGCUCGUGCCCGAAUGCUCAAAUGUUAGGUCAGGAGAUAUAUAGUUAGAUCUCUUUGACAGUAUGAGUGUUUCCUGGAUGACUUGUAACCAUCCCAGCUCAUGCCAUAGUGCUACAGUUGGAUCUUAGGGAUCGUCUCCCUGGAUCGAGCACAUGCCAUUGUAAUGUUGAAUGAGGAGUAGGUCUGUUGGACAGUAUAAUGUCCAAAAUUUGGUAGAUAGUGCUACUGCCCUAUGCUGUAAGCCAGAUAGUUGGUUAGUUGUAUUUUGUCAGAUUGAUUGCAUUCCAAAGUUGAACCUGAU